CCUGCUGUACGACCAGCAGUAGCCUAGGAGGACAUGCGUCACUGGCAACGGUGAGGUGUGAAGCUUCUCUGACAAUGUAGUCCCCGACGUUCAGGGCGGGGUGGCGGUCGUGAGACCGUCCCUCGGAGACUCCCAGCAGCACUGGGGUUGAGACG
rnacentral:ncRNA from 2 species